rnacentral:rRNA from 1 species
GAUGAACGCUGGCGGCGUGCCUAACACAUGCAAGUCGAGCGAUUCUCUUCGGAGAAGAGCGGCGGACGGGUGAGUAACGCGUGGGUAACCUGCCCUGUACACACGGAUAACAUACCGAAAGGUAUGCUAAUACGAGAUAAUAUGCUUUUAUCGCAUGGUAGAAGUAUCAAAGCUCCGGCGGUACAGGAUGGACCCGCGUCUGAUUAGCUAGUUGGUAAGGUAACGGCUUACCAAGGCGACGAUCAGUAGCCGACCUGAGAGGGUGAUCGGCCACAUUGGAACUGAGACGCGGUCCAAACUCCUACGGGAGGCAGCAGUGGGGAAUAUUGCACAAUGGGCAAAAGCCUGAUGCAGCAACGCCGCGUGAGCGAUGAAGGUUUUCGGAUUGUAAACUCCUGUCGUUAGGGACGAUAAUGACGGUACCUAACAAGAAAGC